UCUACCCACUCCACCUUAGACCCUCCGAUCUCUAGACAUCCCCACUUUUGGUCAGUAGGUCAGCCAAGCAGGUGUUCAACGAAUGUAAGAGAGAAGAAAAGGGAGAGAAAAAGGGUAAAAGAGUAAUUUUCUUUUUAACUUGAAAACCUACUAUUGCAAGUUAAGGGGACAUUUUUGAAUCAAAAUUAAAAUUUAGGGAUUUUUUUUAGUAAUAAAGUGAAGUUAAGGGACAGAAGUGAAACAACCAUCAAAGUUUGAGAGACGACCAAUGAAAAUUAACCAAAUAAAACGUAACAUGUGAAAAAUAUACUUUUGUGAGAAAAGAAGGCAUUCUAUUGAGCAAUAUAGGAGUGGAAGAAAAGGAAGGCUAUAAAACCCAUUUGUUAGAUUAAAAAAAAUGGAACACUCCAGACUGUACAGCUGCAAAAUUUCAUUUGUGGAGGGAGAAAUAAUGUCAUGCCAUAUUCUUCAUCUUUACUUCGAUCCAAGGAAAGAUGUGUCUGAAGCUCUAUAUCUAAGAUCAUAUAACAUGAAUGAAGAAGGUUGUGGAUGUUGGAGAUCAAGAUCCAUUGCCUGAAGUAAUGGAGUUUGCCGAGAUGAGUCAUGCUGGUCAGAGUAAAAGUUUGAUGGUUGAUAUAGAUUGGGAUUAUCUUGAUGGCUUAUGACUGGAUUCUGCUGGUGGUACAUAACCUCCUGGUUAGACUCAAAAAUAUACAAACCCUGCAGAAGAGGAUUUGAUGUUAGGGCUUCUGUUGAAACACAUGCUUGUUGAGGACUUGAAACAAAGGUAUCCGUAUCUGGUGCAGGUGGUAGUGCACUUGGAAAUCCAUGUUUCUUAGAGCUUUUUUCUUUCAUAUAUUUCAGUUGGUGCCUCUCAGGGACAGCACCAUCGUUGUCUUCUAUUCCCGCUACUCUGUUGUCCUCAUCCUGAUCCUCAACUGUUCUCUUAUCCAAGAAAAUCUCUGCAUUCCCACUUUCAGAGACAUUUGCAGCAGUGCUGCUUGAGGCAAUACCAUGAGCCUCCUCAUGUUUUAUUGUCAAGAUUUUCUCCACUGCUUCAAUCAUUUGAUCAAGUUGUCUUGAAGCGAACUGAAAUGCUUCCUCUGAUUCAGUGGCUCUAGCUGAUAUUUUAAGCAUUCUGCGGCACAAAGCUUUGUACCGGCUACCAGCAACCAACUUGGGGUUUUCUUGUGCAAUGAACUCUUUGCUCUCUCUCACAUAGCCAAUCCUCGCAUCUUUUGUCCAUCUCUUCAGGAUAUAUUUGGAGGGAAGCACCUUUAUAUUCUUCUGAUCAAGUACUUUCAGAGCAUGGCCACACAGAAAUCCAACAUUUUCAAAUUUCCUACAACUGCAAAUGACUGUAUCAUCUGAAGGAUUGAAUGUGACAGUAUAUUCUCGACUUCGCCCAAAUGUAUUCACUUUGUACUCAAGAAAAAGGCUACUCUCACUGCACUGGCUAACAACAAAAUUUAAACACUUCUCAUAUUCUUUCUGAAAUAUUUCAAAUGCCUUUGGCGUGUACAUGUCACUUGCAUGCUUUAGCAAAACUACAUUCCCCAUUAACCUUGGCAUGCAUCUAGUCAUCUCAUCAUUAGCUUGUAAUUCUUUGAAGCGUUGCUCAUCCACCAUCCUCUCAAAAACCUUGAAAAACUGAAGUGCAUCUUGAUCAGAGCUUAAGUUACUUCUCAAGUUCCUAUGUAAAUCUUCAGCCACAUGACAGCCUCUGGCAUCAAGAAAAAAUGUGUUCAUGCCAUAUACGAUGGCCCAUUUCUCUCUUUCUCUAAACAUCCAUCUUAGCCACUCAUUUUGCUGAAGACUAUAUUUAUCCAGCAAAGCCUCCCAGGCAUGAAUGAAAUCCUCCUCAUCAUUGAGAUCAUAGAUACAACUUCUAAAAUCACUGGAAAAAGAUUCAGUAUCCUUCAAUGCAUGGCUAAGGUGAUUAAGAGCAUUCUGGCACAUCUGCCAAACACAGAUACGAUGGCUUGUUUCUGGCAAGACAGAUUUAAUUGCUUCAACAAUUGCUGCAUCUUGAUCAGUGAGAAUAACUUUU
rnacentral:misc_RNA from 1 species